ncrna:unclassified sequences RAGATH-18 RNA
CUUGUGGAUUGUUAUAUCAAAUGAGAGUAGAUUUUAUACCUCAGAGUAUAAAGACAAAAUCAGACAGGAUGAAGCAAGAA